rnacentral:rRNA from 1 species
UGGGAGUACGGCCGCAAGGUUUAAAACUUCAAAUGAAUUUGACGGGGGGCCCGCACCAGCGGUGGAGCAUGUGGUUUAAUUCGACGCAACGCGAAGAACCUUACCUUGGCCCUUGACAUGCAGAGAACUUUCCAGAGAUGGAUUGGUGCCUUCGGGAACUCUGACACAGGUGCUGCAUGGCCCGUCGUCAGCUUCGUGUCGUGAGAUGUUGGGUUAAGUCCCGGUAACGAGCGCAACCCCUAUCCCUAGUUGCUAGCAGUUCGGCUGAGAACUCUAGGGAGACUGCCGGUGACAAACCGGAGGAAGGUGGGGAUGACGUCAGGUCAUCAUGGCCCUUACGGCCAGGGCUACACACGUGCUACAAUGGUGCGCACAGAGGGCUGCAAACCCGCGAGGGGGAGCCAAUCUCACAAAACGCAUCGUAGUCCAGGAUCGCAGUCUGCAACUCGACUGCGUGAAGUCGGAAUCGCUAGUAAUCGUGAAUCAGAAUGUCACGGUGAAUACGUUCCCGGGCCUUGUACACACCGCCCGUCACACCAUGGGAGUGGAUUGCACCAGAAGUGGUUAGUCUAACCUUCGGGAGGACGAUCACCACGGUGUGGUGUCAUGACUGGGGUGAAGUCGUAACAAGGUAACCAAUCA